rnacentral:pre_miRNA from 1 species
UUUCUACUCCCUUCGUCCGAAAAUACUUGUCAUCAAAAUGGAUAAAAAGAGAUGUAUCUAAAACUAAAAUAUGUCUAGAUACAUUUCCUUUUAUCCAUUUUGAUGACAAGUAUUUCCGGACGGAGGGUGUAUUUG